rnacentral:sRNA from 1 species
GAGCUUGGAGAAGACCGGAAGUGCCUCCGCCUCCGCUCGCCCUCGUGCUCCCUUCAGCCCCUUCGCAGCUCUGUCGCAAGGUCGUGUCCCGGAAGUGAAGGGGCCAUGUUGAUGGGUGACCCGGGGAGAGGUACCUGGCCAGAGGCGAGUCCUGCGGAGUGGUAGCGCGCGCGGCCUGCGGAUGAGGAACUGAGACAGGCACAGAGAGAUCACCCCCUGUGGUGAAGUUCUAUUACAGUUCUUUACAUGCACAGUUCUCAAAAUAACCGUAUGUGUGUGACACCCAGCCCCUGCCAGUCCCCCAUGGCCCCGUGGAGCCGAGAGGCGGUGCUGAGUCUCUAUCGGGCUCUGUUGCGCCAGGGCCGACAGCUUCGCUACACUGAUCGAGACUUCUACUUUGCCUCCAUCCGCCGUGAAUUCCGAAAAAAUCAGAAGCUAGAGGACCCUGUGGCCCGGGAGAGGCAGCUGGAGAAGGGCCUGGUCUUUCUCAACGGCAAAUUGGGGAGGAUCAUUUAGGAUCCUCCAAGGGAAAGAGGACAAAGGUGCCUUCUGUAGACA